CUUUCCAGGGAGUCCCGGGCACAUAUCGGUCUGGCCCGUCCGAACAGCGGUUCCUUCGCGGACUAACUACGGAAUCACCCGAAGGCAUUCGGACGCUUCUGGGGACAGCCCGAGGUGGCGGGGGCUCUUUCGGACGGCUGGCGGCAAGAUUUCGGAACAAUUCGUUUUUACACGGGAACAUUUACAGUGCACU